AGAGUUUGAUCCUGGCUCAGGAUGAACGCUGGCGGCAUGCCUAACACAUGCAAGUCGAUCGGUAAGGCUCUUCGGAGUACACGAGAGGCGGACGGCUGAGUAACGCGUAGGAACACACCCUGCAGUGAGGGAUAAGACACCGAAAGGUGUUCUAAUACCGCAUACGGUCUUCGGAUUAAAGCAUUUAUGCGCUGAAGGAGUGGCCUGCGUCAUAUUAGAUAGUUGGUGAGGUAAUGGCUCACCAAGUCGAUGAUGUGUAGCUGGUCUGAGAGGAUGAUCAGCCAGACUGGAACUGAGACACGGUCCAGACUCCUACGGGAGGCAGCAGUGAGGAAUAUUUCACAAUGAGCGAAAGCUUGAUGGAGCAAUGCCGCGUGCAGGAUGAAGGCCCUCGGGUUGUAAACUGCUUUUAUAAGAGAAGAUUAUGACGGUAACUUAUGAAUAAGGGACGGCUAACUACGUGCCAGCAGCCGCGGUCAUACGUAGGUCCCGAGCGUUAUCCGGAGUGACUGGGCGUAAAGAGUUGCGUAGGCGGUCAAGUUAGCGAGCGAUGAAAACUAUCGGCUCAACCGAUAGCUUGUUGUUCGAACUGCUUGACUCGAGAGUAUCAGAGGUCGCUGGAAUUCCUAGUGUAGCAGUGAAAUGCGUAGAUAUUAGGAAGAACACCAAUGGCGUAGGCAGGCGACUGGGAUAUUUCUGACGCUAAGGCACGAAAGCGUGGGUAGCGAACCGGAUUAGAUACCCGGGUAGUCCACGCCGUAAACGAUGGAUGCUAAUUGUUUGAGGUAUCGACCCCUCGAGUAAUAAAGCUAACGCGUUAAGCAUCCCGCCUGUGGAGUACGGCCGCAAGGCUAAAACAUAAAGGAAUUGACGGGGAC
rnacentral:rRNA from 1 species